CCUCUUCCAACUCCAGGGCUUGCACACUUAAUGCAGAGACUAACAUCAAGAAAACACCAUGAAUCUUCAGCUCAAGAGAAGGAAUCAUGGGGAAGAUCUAUAAACCUACUUUCAAACUGGAUUCCAACAUUGAUUGGCAUCACCAGGAGUUUCUUGGGAAAGCAGAGUCUCAGUUCCGCAUUAGACCUACUGAAUCAAACCUUCAUUUCUACAUGAGCACCCAAGAAAGCACCAUGCAGGUACCAGAUUGCUGUAACAUGGUUUUGACAAUCGAGAACUGGUGCACUGGUCUAGCCUUCUGCUAUUAUGGAAUCACUCUCAACAGCAUUUAGGGUCGAAUUUGAUCACCGUACUAAAGGAUUUGUAAUCGCAAAUGUAGUCUCAUGUUCCAAAUCACUGGAAAAUCUGCGUGGAAGACAUGAAACCUGGGCCUAGUGGUGUAGGCCUAUAAUCCUGGAGACCUAGCAGGCAGAGUCGGGAGUUCAAGUCCAAGACCUGCUCCACUAUAGAUGGACAGUGGCUGCUGCAGAGACUCAGGACUAUUCAAAGUGCUGAGGAGGAUAAGAAAAUUUUGAAUGCUCAGCCAUAAAUGGAACAUCUGUAUUACUCCACCCAAGGCUUGGAGACAUUGAGGAACAGAGGAGGAACGAAGUAAGGUCUGGAGGAUAGGGUGGGACUUUGUGGAAUACUGACUUCCAAGUAUGACACUGCCAUUGUAUGCCUAAACUCACAAAGGCUGUUACCAUCUACACAAAGUCUGCACAAAAUUGAGCUCAUUGAAGUCCUGUCAUGGACGAGAAAGGGGUUCAUGAAACUCUACCAUUUGCUGAGCAUCUAGAAACAGCUGAUAACUGCUGAAGAGGAAAAGAUGUUUUCCUCAGUAUGGAAAGCUGCUGGUGAGGUUUCCAUGUUCUUGUAGACAACCUUCACCUUGCUCCUAUUCAUUGGGUCACAAAGAAACAAAAAGACAUAAAAGCUGAAGGAUUAGUUGGGAAGGGAAAGGGGAUGAGUGGGAGUUAAUGGGGUUGAAUAUAAUAAACCAAUUAUAUACAUGUAUG